GAGUUUGAUCCUGGCUCAGGAUGAACGCUGGCGGUAUGCUUAACACAUGCAAGUCGAACGAAAGUUUUUAACUUUAGUGGCGAACGGGUGAGUAAUACGUGAGAAUCUGCCCUUAGGAAAAGAAUAACUUCUGGAAACGGUUGCUAAAUCUUUAUAUGUCGAGAGAUGAAAUAGCUUAGGCUGCCGAAGGACGAGCUCACGCCUGAUUAGCUUGUUGGUGAGGUAAUGGCUCACCAAGGCCACGAUCAGUAGCUGGUUUGAGAGAACGAUCAGCCACACUGGGACUGAGACACGGCCCAGACUCCUCCGGGAGGCAGCAGUGAGGAAUUUUCCGCAAUGGGCGAAAGCCUGACGGAGCAAUACCGCGUGAGGGAUGAAGGAUUUUGGUCUGUAAACCUCUUUUCUCAAGAAAGAAGUUCUGACGGUACUUGAGGAAUAAGCAUCGGCUAACUCCGUGCCAGCAGCCGCGGUAAUACGGGGGAUGCAAGCGUUAUCCGGAAUGAUUGGGCGUAAAGCGCCUGUAGGUUGUUUAUUAAGUCCGUUGUUAAAGCCUAGGGCUUAACCCUAGAAAAGCAAUGGAAACUAGUAGACUAGAGUAUGGCAGGGGUAGAGGGAAUUUCUAGUGUAGCGGUGAAAUGCGUAGAUAUUAGAAAAGAACACCGGUGGCGAAAGCGCUCUACUGGACCAUUACUGACACUCAGAGGCGAAAGCUAGGGUAGCAAAAGGGAUUAGAUACCCCUGUAGUCCUAGCCGUAAACGAUGGAUACUAGAUGUUGUGCAUUAUGUACAGUAUCGUAGCUAACGCGUUAAGUAUCCCGCCUGGGGAGUACGCUCGCAAGGGUGAAACUCAAAGGAAUUGACGGGGCCCGCACAAGCGGUGGAGCAUGUGGUUUAAUU
rnacentral:rRNA from 1 species